rnacentral:lncRNA from 1 species
CGGAGAUACUCACACAAACUGGAGGCUUCACAGAAAAUUAGAAACUUUACUUGGGGAAACAGAGACUCCGAGGAGAUGGAAAGCAACUCAAUGACCAUGUUUGAUGUGUUUCACAGGGAAAUGAGAGAGAGGAUCGUGCUACAGCGGCUGAUAGUGAUUGCUCGGCUCCCCCACGAUCUCGCUGACAGGACAGAACUGGGAGCUCAUUACGAAAAGCUCAACUUUCAGCUCAGCAAACAAUAUUUCUGGGAUCUUAUGACGGGCCAG